rnacentral:rRNA from 1 species
GAUGAACGCUGGCGGCGUGCCUAAUACAUGCAAGUCGAGCGAACAGAUAAGGAGCUUGCUCCUUUGACGUUAGCGGCGGACGGGUGAGUAACACGUGGAUAACCUACCUAUAAGACUGGGAUAACUUCGGGAAACCGGAGCUAAUACCGGAUAACAUAUUGAACCGCAUGGUUCAAUAGUGAAAGGCGGCUUUGCUGUCACUUAUAGAUGGAUCCGCGCCGUAUUAGCUAGUUGGUAAGGUAACGGCUUACCAAGGCAACGAUACGUAGCCGACCUGAGAGGGUGAUCGGCCACACUGGAACUGAGACACGGUCCAGACUCCUACGGGAGGCAGCAGUAGGGAAUCUUCCGCAAUGGGCGAAAGCCUGACGGAGAAACGCCGCGUGAGUGAUGAAGGUCUUCGGAUCGUAAAACUCUGUUAUCAGGGAAGAACAAAUGUGUAAGUAACUGUGCACAUCUUGACGGUACCUGAUCAGAAAGCCACGGCUAACUACGUG